rnacentral:rRNA from 1 species
UACGUAGGGGGCAAGCGUUGUCCGGAUUUACUGGGCGUAAAGAGCGUGUAGGCGGCCAGGUAGGUCCGUUGUGAAAACUCGAGGCUCAACCUCGAGACGUCGGCGGAAACCCUCUGGCUAGAGUCCGGAAGAGGAGAGUGGAAUUCCUGGUGUAGCGGUGAAAUGCGCAGAUAUCAGGAAGAACACCCGUGGCGAAGGCGGCUCUCUGGGACGGUACUGACGCUGAGACGCGAAAGCGUGGGGAGCAAACAGG